rnacentral:rRNA from 1 species
UCGAACGCGAAAGUCCCGCAAGGGAUAAGUAGAGUGGCAAACGGGUGAGUAACGCGUGGGUGACCUGCCUUCGAGCGGGGGAUAACGUUCCGAAAGGGACGCUAAUACCGCAUAACAUCCUGCCUUUCAAGAGGUGGAGAUCAAAGCCAGGGAUCGCAAGACCUGGCACUCGAAGAGGGGCCCGCGUCCGAUUAGCUAGUUGGUGAGGUAACGGCUCACCAAGGCAACGAUCGGUAGCCGGCCUGAGAGGGCGGACGGCCACACUGGGACUGAGACACGGCCAGACUCCUACGGGAGGCAGCAGUGGGGAAUUGUUCGCAAUGGGCGCAAGCCUGACGACGCAACGCCGCGUGGAGGAUGAAGAUCUUCGGGUCGUAAACUCCUUUCGAUCGAGACGAAUCCCUCUGGGGUGAACAAUCCCGGAGGUUGACGGUACCGAGAGAAGAAGCCCCGGCUAACUCCGUGCCAGCAGCCGCGGUAAUACGGGGGGGGCAAGCGUUGUUCGGAAUUACUGGGCGUAAAGGGCUCGUAGGCGGCCAACUAAGUCAGACGUGAAAUCCCUCGGCUUAACCGGGGAAUUGCGUCUGAUACUGGAUGGCUGGAGUUUGGGAGAGGGAUGCGGAAUUCCAGGUGUAGCGGUGAAAUGCGUAGAUAUCUGGAGGAACAUCGGUGGCGAAGGCGGCAUCCUGGACCAAUACUGACGCUGAGGAGCGAAAGCCAGGGGAGCAAACGGGAUUAGAUACCCCGGUAGUCCUGGCCCUAAACGAUGAAUGCUUGGUGUGGCGGGUAUCGAUCCCUGCCGUGCCGAAGCUAACGCAUUAAGCAUUCCGCCUGGGGAGUACGGUCGCAAGGCUGAAACUCAAAGGAAUUGACGGGGGCCCGCACAAGCGGUGGA